rnacentral:rRNA from 1 species
UGCUGGAGGUAUCAGAAGUGCGAAUGCUGACAUAAGUAACGAUAAAGCGGGUGAAAAGCCCGCUCGCCGGAAGACCAAGGGUUCCUGUCCAACGUUAAUCGGGGCAGGGUGAGUCGACCCCUAAGGCGAGGCCGAAAGGCGUAGUCGAUGGGAAACAGGUUAAUAUUCCUGUACUUGGUGUUACUGCGAAGGGGGGACGGAGAAGGCUAUGUUAGCCGGGCGACGGUUGUCCCGGUUUAAGCAUGUAGGCUGGUUGUCCAGGCAAAUCCGGAUAAUCAAGGCUGAGGUGUGAUGACGAGGCACUACGGUGCUGAAGUAACAAAUGCCCUGCUUCCAGGAAAAGCCUCUAAGCAUCAGGUAACAUCAAAUCGUACCCCAAACCGACACAGGUGGUCAGGUAGAGAAUACCAAGGCGCUUGAGAGAACUCGGGUGAAGGAACUAGGCAAAAUGGUGCCGUAACUUCGGGAGAAGGCACGCUGGUGUGUAGGUGAAGCCCCUGCGGGUGGAGCUGAGACCAGUCGAAGAUACCAGCUGGCUGCAACUGUUUAUUAAAAACACAGCACUGUGCAAACACGAAAGUGGACGUAUACGGUGUGACGCCUGCCCGGUGCCGGAAGGUUAAUUGAUGGGGUUAUCCGUAAGGAGAAGCUCUUGAUCGAAGCCCCGGUAAACGGCGGCCGUAACUAUAACGGUCCUAAGGUAGCGAAAUUCCUUGUCGGGUAAGUUCCGACCUGCACGAAUGGCGUAAUGAUGGCCAGGCUGUCUCCACCCGAGACUCAGUGAAAUUGAACUCGCUGUGAAGAUGCAGUGUACCCGCGGCAAGACGGAAAGACCCCGUGAACCUUUACUAUAGCUUGACACUGAACAUUGAGCCUUGAUGUGUAGGAUAGGUGGGAGGCUUUGAAGCGUGGACGCCAGUCUGCGUGGAGCCAACCUUGAAAUACCACCCUUUAAUGUUUGAUGUUCUAACGUUGGCCCCUGACCGGGGUUGCGGACAGUGUCUGGUGGGUAGUUUGACUGGGGCGGUCUCCUCCCAAAGCGUAACGGAGGAGCACGAAGGUUAGCUAAUCCUGGUCGGACAUCAGGAGGUUAGUGCAAUGGCAUAAGCUAGCUUGACUGCGAGCGUGACGGCGCGAGCAGGUGCGAAAGCAGGUCAUAGUGAUCCGGUGGUUCUGAAUGGAAGGGCCAUCGCUCAACGGAUAAAAGGUACUCCGGGGAUAACAGGCUGAUACCGCCCAAGAGUUCAUAUCGACGGCGGUGUUUGGCACCUCGAUGUCGGCUCAUCACAUCCUGGGGCUGAAGUAGGUCCCAAGGGUAUGGCUGUUCGCCAUUUAAAGUGGUACGCGAGCUGGGUUUAGAACGUCGUGAGACAGUUCGGUCCCUAUCUGCCGUGGGCGCUGGAGAAUUGAGGGGGGCUGCUCCUAGUACGAGAGGACCGGAGUGGACGCAUCACUGGUGUUCGGGUUGUCAUGCCAAUGGCACUGCCCGGUAGCUAAAUGCGGAAGAGAUAAGUGCUGAAAGCAUCUAAGCACGAAACUUGCCCCGAGAUGAGUUCUCCCUGAGACUUUAAGUCUCCUGAAGGAACGUUAAAGACGAUGACGUUGAUAGGCCGGGUGUGUAAGCGCAGCGAUGCGUUGAGCUAACCGGUACUAAUGAACCGUGAGGCUUAACCUUA